rnacentral:misc_RNA from 1 species
AUGUCCACAAAGACGCACGUCGAAACGCGUAGCAAAAAAAUUAUAAAUAAUCCGUAUGCUGUAGUUGACGAAGCUUUAAAUGGCGCGGUUCUCUCCAACAAUGAUGUGCAAUUACUAAAUGGCCAUCGUGUUUUGAUACGACGCGAUGUUGAUUGUGUUCGUGAGCGAAGUUUGGUGGCAUUGAUCUCUGGUGGCGGAAGUGGUCAUGAACCAGCGCACGCUGGAUUUGUAGGCCAUGGUGGAUUGACAGCUGCUGUUGCUGGUGAUGUAUUUACUUCACCUCCAACAAGAUCAGUUCUUGCUACCAUACGUGCUGUUGGUGCCAGUAAUGAAGGUGGUGUUUUGCUAAUAGUUAAGAACUACACUGGUGACAGGUUAAAUUUUGGUAUGGCCGCAGAACGGGCCAAACAGGAGGGUAUCAAAGUUGAUAUUGUUGUUGUAAAUGAAGAUUGUGCUUUGGCAAGUGUAGAUAAGACUUCUGGCAGAAGAGGAUUGUGUGGUACUGUCAUUAUUCAUAAAAUAGCAGGUGCGAUGGCAGAAACAGGAGCAUCAUUGGAGGAAAUGGUUCCAUUUUUGCAGGACACUAUCAAAAACAUGGGUACAAUGGGUGUAAGUUUAUCACCAUGCUCCAUACCAGGAUCACAGCCGUCAUUUCAUCUUGCGGAUGAUGAAAUUGAGCUUGGUCUUGGUAUUCAUGGGGAAAAAGGUGUGGAAAGAAUUAAGCUCUUAACAGCCAAGCAACUUGUGCAAAGAAUGGUGGAACAUAUGAGUACAGAAUCUGAGGCAGAGACCAAUAAAUUUUACCUAAAGAAAGGUGACAAACUUGGUUUAAUGGUAAAUAAUCUUGGAGGAACAACUCAAUUGGAAUUAUAUAUUGUAGCAAAAGAAGCAGUCCAGUAUUUGAAAACAAAAAAAGGUGUUGAAGUUGAGAGAAUAUAUGUUGGUACUUUUAUGACAUCUUUGGAGAUGGCUGGUGUUUCAAUAACCUUGCUACAUUUGAACGAAGAUAGAAAGAAAUAUUUAGAUUUUGAAACAAGGAUUCCUGGAUGGCCCCGGGUGUUUGGUGAUCAAAAUACUCCCAAUCCUCUUGAAGGUUACGAACCAGUAAACAGGGAGUCUGGAGAUGACAUGAAAGUGAAAGGACAAGCAUUAACAUCAGGAGGUCGUAAAUUAUACAACUGCCUGUUAAAGAUUGCAGAAACCUUAGAAGCCAAUGAAGAACGGCUUAACAAUUUAGAUCGCUUGGCAGGUGAUGGAGAUUGUGGCUCAACAUUAAAACGAGCUGCCAUAGGCAUAAAAGAUACUUUAGGAAACAUAGAGAGUUGUGGUAUUCCUUGUAAUACUCCAUACCAGGCCCUUAUUGUUCUCUCUGAUAUCAUUGAGGACCGCAUGGGAGGAUCAUCAGGAGCGCUUUAUAGUUUAUUUUUACUGGCUGGUGUUGAACAAAUCAAAGAUAAUGUUGAGCCAAUGCAGUGGUGUAAAGCCUUUGAAUGUGGAAUACAAGCAAUAAUGAGAUACGGUGGAGCUCAAGAAGGUUACAGAACAAUGUUGGACGCUAUGUGUCCCGCUGUUCUGGAGUUGAAGAAAGGUCUAAAGAACUCUGAUAAACCUCUGGAAUCUUUUCAAAAAGCAGUCAAGGCUGCCGAGGAUGGUGCACAGAACACGGCUAAAAUGCAGGCCCAGGCCGGCCGUGCGAGUUACAUUGGGUCUAGUAUUUUAUCGGAACCAGAUCCUGGUGCGGUUGCUGUUGCAUUAUGGAUGAAUGCGAUUUGUGCAGCUUUAAAAUAAUGACAUAAAAUGCGAAUAUGAAUGUGAAUAUGUGGAAUGUGCCCAGCUAAUUCUGUAAAAUGCUUGUAAAAGAUUAAUAAAAACCCUCUUGCCAUAAGGCUAACGAGUAGGAUAUUCAUAGUGUUUUCCAGAGGUGUUGAUUUCAUU